rnacentral:rRNA from 1 species
AUUGAACGCUGGCGGCAUGCUUUACACAUGCAAGUCGAACGGUAACAGGCCGCAAGGUGCUGACGAGUGGCGAACGGGUGAGUAAUGCAUCGGAACGUGCCCAGUCGUGGGGAUAACGCAGCGAAAGCUGCGCUAAUACCGCAUACGAUCUCUGGAUGAAAGCGGGGGACCGAAAGGCCUCGCGCGAUUGGAGCGGCCGAUGUCAGAUUAGGUAGUUGGUGGGGUAAAGGCUCACCAAGCCAACGAUCUGUAGCUGGUCUGAGAGGACGACCAGCCACACUGGGACUGAGACACGGCCCAGACUCCUACGGGAGGCAGCAGUGGGGAAUUUUGGACAAUGGGCGCAAGCCUGAUCCAGCAAUGCCGCGUGCAGGAAGAAGGCCUUCAGGUUGUAAACUGCUUUUGUACGGAACGAAACGGUCCUGGUUAAUACCUGGGGCUAAUGACGGUACCGUAAGAAUAAGCACCGGCUAACUACGUGCCAGCAGCCGCCGUAACAC